rnacentral:rRNA from 1 species
AGAGUUUGAUCCUGGCUCAGAAUCAACGCUGGCGGCGUGCCUAACACAUGCAAGUCGAGCGAGAAAGGGGGGGCAACUCCCUGAGUACAGCGGCGCACGGGUGAGUAACACGUGGGUAAUCUGCCCUGGAGUGGGGAAUAACACCGGGAAACCGGUGCUAAUACCGCAUACGAUAGCGAGGUCUGCGGACUUUGUUAUGAAAGGAGCAAUUCGCUCUAGGAGGAGCCCGCGGCUGAUUAGCUAGUUGGUGAGGUAACGGCUCACCAAGGCUACGAUCAGUAUCCGGUCUGAGAGGACGGCCGGACACACUGGAACUGAGACACGGUCCAGACUCCUACGGGAGGCAGCAGUGGGGAAUUUUUGGCAAUGGGGGCAACCCUGACCAAGCAACGCCGCGUGGGUGAUGAAGUCUCUUGGGACGUAAAACCCUUUCGACGGGGACGAAAGCCGCAAGGCCUGACGGUACCCGUAGAAGAAGCCCCGGCUAACUCCGUGCCAGCAGCCGCGGUAAUACGGGGGGGGCAAGCGUUGUUCGGAAUUACUGGGCGUAAAGGGUGCGUAGGCGGUUCGCUAAGUUGGAUGUGAAAACUCUGGGCUCAACCCAGAGCCUGCAUCCAAAACUGGCGGGCUAGAGUUCUGGAGGGGGUAGCGGAAUUCCUGGUGUAGCGGUGAAAUGCGUAGAUAUCAGGAGGAACACCGGUGGCGAAGGCGGCUACCUGGACAGAAACUGACGCUGAGGCACGAAAGCUAGGGGAGCAAACAGGAUUAGAUACCCUAGUAGUCC